rfam:Camelus ferus unplaced genomic scaffold scaffold144, whole genome shotgun sequence.
GAGGGUAUAGCUCAAGUGGUAGAGUGCAUUCUUAGCACGCAUGAGGUCUUGGGUUCAAUCCCCAGUACCUCCU